rnacentral:rRNA from 1 species
UACGUAGGGGGCAAGCGUUGUCCGGAUUUACUGGGCGUAAAGCGCACGUAGGCGGCUUUGUAAGUUAGAGGUGAAAGCCCGGGGCUCAACCCCGGAACUGCCUUUAAAACUGCAUCGCUUGAAUCCAGGAGAGGUGAGUGGAAUUCCGAGUGUAGAGGUGAAAUUCGUAGAUAUUCGGAAGAACACCAGUGGCGAAGGCGGCUCACUGGACUGGUAUUGACGCUGAGGUGGCGAAAGCGUGGGGAGCAAACAGG